rnacentral:rRNA from 1 species
UCCUACGGGGGGCAGCAGUAGGGAAUUUUCGUCGAUGGGCGCAAGCCUGAACGAGCAAUGCCGCGUGAACGAGGAAGGUCUUCGGAUCGUAAAGUUCUGUUGAAGGGGAAAAAGAGCGGAGAGAGGAAAUGGUCUCCGAUUGAUAUUACCCUUCGAGGAAGUCACGGCUAACUACGUGCCAGCAGCCGCGGUAAUACGUAGGUGGCGAGCGUUAUCCGGAAUGAUUGGGCGUAAAGGGUGCGUAGGCGGCCUGCUAAGUCUGGAGUGAAAGGUACCGGCUCAACCGGUACAGGCUCUGGAAACUG